rnacentral:tRNA from 1 species
GGGGUUAUAGCUCAGUUGGUAGAGCGCUUGCUUAGCGUAAUUGCUACGGCAUGCAUGAGGUCUUGGGUUCAAUUCCCAAUAACUCCA